rnacentral:hammerhead_ribozyme from 1 species
GUACUGAUGAGGAGUCCCACAAUAGGACGAAACGGCCGUACAGUAC